GGCACUGUCCAACCUGCCCAUUUCACAGAUUUAGAAGCUAAGUUCCAGAGAGUCUAUGACUAAGGGAAAGAAGAGGACUACAGAGAGCAAGAUAGAGUCGCUCAUGUCAAGCAGAGACGCAAGCGCUGAAGCAGGUUCCAGCUAAGAUCAUUAAUAGCGGAGACCCAGCGGCAUGGUAAAAUGAAAGAACAAAUGAAUUGAAAUCAUUAAAAGGCGG